GAUGAACGCUGGCGGCGUGCCUAAUACAUGCAAGUCGAGCGAACUUUUGGGAGCUUGCCCCCUAUAGCUAGCGGCGGACGGGUGAGUAACACGCGGGUAACCCCUCUCUAAGACUGGGAUAACUUUGGGAAAACGGAGCUAAUACCGGAUAACAUUUAAUAACACAUGGCCUUCAAUAAAAAGGUGGCGUUUUGCUGCCACUUAUAGAUGGACCCGCGCCGCAUUAGCUAGUUGGUGAGGUAACGGCUUACCAAGGCGACGAUGCGUAGCCGACCUGAGAGGGGGACCGCCAACCUUGGAACUGAGCCACGCCCCAGACCCUUCGGGGAGGCAGCAGAGGGGAACUUCCGCAAAUGGGCGAAGGCUUGCGGGAGAACGCCGGGGGGAGUGAGGAAGGCUUCCGGUCGUAAAGCUCUUUUGUUAGGGGAGGACAAGUAUCGUACGAAUAUGGCGGUGCCUUGACGGUACCUAAUCAGAAAGCCACGGCUAACUACGUG
rnacentral:rRNA from 1 species